rnacentral:rRNA from 1 species
UACGUAGGGGGCUAGCGUUGUCCGGAAUCAUUGGGCGUAAAGCGCGCGUAGGCGGCCCGGUAAGUCCGCUCUGAAAGUCCAGGGCUCAACCCUGGAAAGCGGGUGGAUACUGCCGGGCUAGAAUCCGGAAGAGGCGAGUGGAAUUCCUGGUGUAGCGGUGAAAUGCGUAGAUAUCUGGAGGAAUACCGGUGGCGAAGGCGGCAUCCUGGACCGACAUUGACGCUGAGGAGCGAAAGCUAGGGGAGCAAACGGG